GACGAACGCGGCGGCGUGCUUAACACAUGCAAGUCGAACGGAGCGAAUGAAAGCUUGCUUUUAUAAGCUUAGUGGCAAACGGGUGAGUAACACGUAGGCAACCUGCCGACAGGAUGGGGACAACAUUCCGAAAGGAAUGCUAAUACCGAAUGAAGCGCAGGAGAGGCAUCUCUCCUGCGUGAAAGAUGGCCUCUAUAUAUAAGCUAUCACCUGUCGAUGGGCCUGCGUCUGAUUAGCUGGUAGGUGAGGUAACGGCUCACCUAGGCGACGAUCAGUAGCCGGUCUGAGAGGAUGAACGGCCACAUUGGGACUGAGACACGGCCCAGACUCCUACGGGAGGCAGCAGUGGGGAAUCUUCCGCAAUGGGCGCAAGCCUGACGGAGCAACGCCGCGUGAGUGAAGAAGGUCUUCGGAUCGUAAAGCUCUGUUGAUGGGGACGAACGUGCCUAAUGCGAAUAGUAUUAGUAAUGACG
rnacentral:rRNA from 1 species